rnacentral:rRNA from 1 species
GAUGAACGCUGGCGGCAGGCCUAACACAUGCAAGUCGAACGGAGUUAUAUUGUAGCUUGCUAUGGUAUAACUUAGUGGCAGACGGGUGAGUAAUGUAUAGGAAUCUACCUAGUAGUAUGGAAUAAUUGUUGGAAACGGCAACUAAUACCGUAUACGCCCUACGGGGGAAAAAUUUAUUGCUAUUAGAUGAGCCUAUAUUAGAUUAGCUAGUUGGUGGAGUAACAGCCUACCAAGGCAAUGAUCUAUAGCUGAUCUGAGAGGAUGAUCAGCCACACUGGAACUGAGAUACGGUCCAGACUCCUACGGGAGGCAGCAGUGGGGAAUAUUGGACAAUGGGCGAAAGCCUGAUCCAGCCAUGCCGCAUGAGUGAAGAAGGCCUUUGGGUUGUAAAGCUCUUUUAGUGAGGAAGAUAAUGACGGUACUCACAGAAGAAGUCCUGGCUAACUCCGUGCCAGCCGCCGCAGAAACAC